ACAGUGGACGCGAGCAUCUGUGGCCAAGUUUUUAAGGGCGCACGGUGGAUGCCUUGGCACCAGGAACCGAUGAAGGACGUGGGAGGCCACGAUAGUCCCCGGGGAGUCGUCAACCAGGCUUUGAUCCGGGGGUUUCCGAAUGGGGAAACCCGGCAGUCGUCAUGGGCUGUCACCCGCUGCUGAACACAUAGGCAGUGUGGAGGGAACGCGGGGAAGUGAAACAUCUCAGUACCCGCAGGAAGAGAAAACAACCGUGAUUCCGGGAGUAGUGGCGAGCGAAACCGGAUGAGGCCAAACCGUAUACGUGUGAGACCCGGCAGGGGUUGCGUGUGCGGGGUUGUGGGAUCUCUCUUUCACAGUCUGCCGGCUGUGAGACGAGUCAGAAACCGUUGAUGUAGGCGAAGGACAUGCGAAAGGUCCGGCGUAGAGGGUAAGACCCCCGUAGUCGAAACAUCAACGGCUCGUUUGAGAGACACCCAAGUAGCACGGGGCCCGAGAAAUCCCGUGUGAAUCUGGCGGGACCACCCGUUAAGCCUAAAUAUUCCCUGGUGACCGAUAGCGGAUAGUACCGUGAGGGAAUGGUGAAAAGUACCGCGGGAGCGGAGUGAAAUAGUACCUGAAACCGUGUGCCUACAAGCCGUGGGAGCGUCGCGCAUUGAGUUUACUCAAUGCGUCGUGACUGCGUGCCUUUUGAAGAAUGAGCCUGCGAGUUUGCGGUGCGUUGCGAGGUUAACCCGUGUGGGGAAGCCGUAGCGAAAGCGAGUCCGAAUAGGGCGAUUCAGUAGCGCGCUCAAGACCCGAAGCGGAGUGAUCUAGCCAUGGGCAGGUUGAAGCGGCUGUAAGAGGUCGUGGAGGACCGAACCCACCAGGGUUGAAAACCUGGGGGAUGACCUGUGGUUAGGGGUGAAAGGCCAAUCAAACUCCGUGAUAGCUGGUUCUCCCCGAAAUGCAUUUAGGUGCAGCGUCGUGUGUUUCUUGCCGGAGGUAGAGCACUGGAUAGGCGAUGGGCCCUACCGGGUUACUGACCUUAGCCAAACUCCGAAUGCCGGUAAGUGAGAGCACGGCAGUGAGACUGUGGGGGAUAAGCUCCAUGGUCGAGAGGGAAACAGCCCAGAGCAUCGACUAAGGCCCCUAAGCGUACGCUAAGUGGGAAAGGAUGUGGAGUCGCAGAGACAACCAGGAGGUUGGCUUAGAAGCAGCCACCCUUGAAAGAGUGCGUAAUAGCUCACUGGUCAAGUGAUUCCGCGCCGACAAUGUAGCGGGGCUCAAGCGUACCGCCGAAGUCGUGUCAUUCCAGCAUAUAGGGCCAACGCCUGCUGGGAUGGGUAGGGGAGCGUCGUGUGCCGGGUGAAGCUGCCGCGGAAGCGAGUGGUGGACGGUUCACGAGUGAGAAUGCAGGCAUGAGUAGCGAUACAUACGUGAGAAACGUGUGCGCCGAUUGACUAAGGGUUCCUGGGUCAAGCUGAUCUGCCCAGGGUAAGUCGGGACCUAAGGCGAGGCCGACAGGCGUAGUCGAUGGAUAACCGGUUGAUAUUCCGGUACCCGCUGUGAAGCGUCAAACAUCGAGCCCAUUGAUGCUAAGGCCGUGAAGCCGUCCUGGAGCCUUCGGGCAAAGGGAAGUGGUGGAGCCGCCGACCCAAGAUGGUAGUAGGUGAGUGAUGGGGUGACGCAGGAAGGUAGUCCAGCCCGGGCGGUGGUUGUCCCGGGGUAAGGGUGUAGCCCGUCAUCUAGGUAAAUCCGGAUGACAUGUGGGUGAGACCUGAUGCCGAGCCGAUUGUGGUGAAGUGGAUGAUCCUAUGCUGUCGAGAAAAGCCUCUAGCGAGUUUCAUGGCGGCCCGUACCCUAAACCGACUCAGGUGGUCAGGUAGAGAAUACCGAGGCGUUCGGGUGAACUAUGGUUAAGGAACUCGGCAAAAUGCCCCCGUAACUUCGGGAGAAGGGGGCCAUCACCGGUGAUGAGUCUUGCACUCUGAGCUGGGGGUGGCCGCAGAGACCAGCGAGAAGCGACUGUUUACUAAAAACACAGGUCCGUGCGAAGCCGUAAGGCGAUGUAUACGGACUGACGCCUGCCCGGUGCUGGAACGUUAAGGGGACCGGUUAGUGCGCUUUCGGGCGUGCGAAGCUGAGAACUUAAGCGCCAGUAAACGGCGGUGGUAACUAUAACCAUCCUAAGGUAGCGAAAUUCCUUGUCGGGUAAGUUCCGACCUGCACGAAUGGCGUAACGACUUCUCGACUGUCUCAACCAUAGGCCCGGUGAAAUUGCACUACGAGUAAAGAUGCUCGUUUCGCGCAGCAGGACGGAAAGACCCCGGGACCUUUACUACAGUUUGAUAUUGGUGUUCGGUUCGGCUUGUGUAGGAUAGGUGGGAGACUUUGAAGCGGGCACGCCAGUGUUCGUGGAGUCAACGUUGAAAUACCACUCUGGUCGUGCUGGAUGUCUAACCUGGGUCCGUGAUCCGGAUCAGGGACAGUGUCUGAUGGGUAGUUUAACUGGGGCGGUUGCCUCCCAAAGAGUAACGGAGGCGCCCAAAGGUUCCCUCAGCCUGGUUGGUAAUCAGGUGUUGAGUGUAAGUGCACAAGGGAGCUUGACUGUGAGACCGACGGGUCGAGCAGGGACGAAAGUCGGGACUAGUGAUCCGGCGGUGGCUUGUGGAAGCGCCGUCGCUCAACGGAUAAAAGGUACCCCGGGGAUAACAGGCUGAUCUUCCCCAAGAGUCCAUAUCGACGGGAUGGUUUGGCACCUCGAUGUCGGCUCGUCGCAUCCUGGGGCUGGAGUCGGUCCCAAGGGUUGGGCUGUUCGCCCAUUAAAGCGGUACGCGAGCUGGGUUUAGAACGUCGUGAGACAGUUCGGUCCCUAUCCGCUGUGCGCGUAGGAAUAUUGAGAAGGGCUGUCCCUAGUACGAGAGGACCGGGACGGACGAACCUCUGGUGUGCCAGUUGUCCUGCCAAGGGCAUGGCUGGUUGGCUACGUUCGGAAAGGAUAACCGCUGAAAGCAUCUAAGCGGGAAGCCUGCUUCGAGAUGAGUAUUCCCACCCCCUUUGAGGGGUUAAGGCUCCCAGUAGACGACUGGGUUGAUAGGCCAGAUCUGGAAGCCCGGUAACGGGUGGAGGUGACUGGUACUAAUAGGCCGAGGGCUUGUCCUCAGUUG
rnacentral:rRNA from 1 species